UCUAGGAGCUUGCUGAUAUGCUGGAAGAGAAAAAUAGGCCCCUGGGGGCAGUUCAAGCUAAUCAUGAAUUACAGAUAAAGCAAUUGAAUAUGGAACUUGAAAAGGAAUGUGAUAAACUUGGGAAUCUGCAGAUGAGAUUGCAAGAGGAGCACAAGCUGAAUGAGUCUCUUCAGGAGGAGCUUGGAGUUACUGAAAUCAGAGAAGGAUAAAAAAGCAAUGAAGGUAAAAGCUUGG